rnacentral:rRNA from 1 species
ACCCUUUAAUGUUUGAUGUUCUAACGUGGACCCGUUACCCGGGUUGCGGACAGUGUCUGGUGGGUAGUUUGACUGGGGCGGUCUCCUCCUAAAGAGUAACGGAGGAGCACGAAGGUUGGCUAAUCCUGGUCGGACAUCAGGAGGUUAGUGCAAUGGCAUAAGCCAGCUUGACUGCGAGCGUGACGGCGCGAGCAGGUGCGAAAGCAGGUCAUAGUGAUCCGGUGGUUCUGAAUGGAAGGGCCAUCGCUCAACGGAUAAAAGGUACUCCGGGGAUAACAGGCUGAUACCGCCCAAGAGUUCAUAUCGACGGCGGUGUUUGGCACCUCGAUGUCGGCUCAUCACAUCCUGGGGCUGAAGUAGGUCCCAAGGGUAUGGCUGUUCGCCAUUUAAAGUGGUACGCGAGCUGGGUUUAGAACGUCGUGAGACAGUUCGGUCCCUAUCUGCCGUGGGCGCUGGAGAACUGAGGGGGGCUGCUCCUAG